CCCAUUAAUGGUUGCUCCCAUCGAAGAAUUGGUUGGGUCACCAGCAUUCGCAGCUCCAACAUCUGAACCGAGGGCAAGCAACGUUGAUGGAACUGGAUUCAGUGAUAUGGAGGCAUCGGUGUUCCGAAAACUUCAAGAGGCCCAGAAAAGGAAGCAAUGUGCAUAAUUGGUGCUUCGCGCAAGAUGUACCAACAUAGGCAGGACAUUGGUUGUCGCAAAUCACAACAGCGGGUGAUCAUCAGAACAAUUCAGUUACAAAGUUGAAAUAAUUUUUCUAAUUUUUGUUGCUGAUGUAUUAUUGCGAGUUACUCACAUGAUGGGCCCAGUUUGUGCCA